CCUACGGGAGGCAGCAGUGAGGAAUAUUGGUCAAUGGUCGCGAGCCUGAACCAGCCAAGUAGCGUGCAGGAUGACUGCCCUACGGGUUGUAAACUUCUUUUAUAAAGGAAUAAAGUGCGGCACGUGUGCCUUUUUGUAUGUACUUUAUGAAUAAGGAUCGGCUAAUUCCGUGCCAGCAGCCGCGGUAAUACGGAGGGUCCGAGCGUUAUCCGGAUUUAUUGGGUUUAAAGGGAGCGUAGACGGGAUGUUAAGUCAGUUGUGAAAGUUUGCGGCUCAACCGUGAAAUUGCAAUUGAUACUGGCAGCCUUGAGUGCAGUGGAGGUAGGCGGAAUUCGUGGUGUAGCGGUGAAAUGCUUAGAUAUCACGAAGAACUCCGAUUGCGAAGGCAGCUUACGAAACUGCCACUGACGUUGAUGCUCGAAAGUGUGGGUAUCAAACAGGAUUAGAUACCCCUGUAGUC
rnacentral:rRNA from 1 species